CCUACGGGGGGCUGCAGUGGGGAAUAUUGCACAAUGGACGAAAGUCUGAUGCAGCAACGCCGCGUGGAGGAUGACACAUUUCGGUGCGUAAACUCCUUUUAUAUAAGAAGAUAAUGACGGUAUUAUAUGAAUAAGCACCGGCUAACUCCGUGCCAGCAGCCGCGGUAAUACGGGGGGUGCAAGCGUUACUCGGAAUCACUGGGCGUAAAGAGCAUGUAGGCGGAUUAAUAAGUUUGAAGUGAAAUCCUAUAGCUUAACUAUAGAACUGCUUUGAAAACUGUUGAUCUAGAAUGUGGGAGAGGUAGAUGGAAUUUCUGGUGUAGGGGUAAAAUCCGUAGAGAUCAGAAGGAAUACCGAUUGCGAAGGCGAUUUACUGGAACACAAUUGACGCUGAGAUGCGAAAGCGUGGGGAGCAAACAGGAUUAGAUACCCCAGUAGUC
rnacentral:rRNA from 1 species